AUUGAACGCUGGCGGCAGGCCUAACACAUGCAAGUCGGGCGAGAGGCGGACGGGUGAGUGAUGUAUGGGGAUCUGCCUGAUGGACGGGGAUAACUACGGGAAACGGUAGCUACUACCGCAUAACAUGAGCUGAACCCAUAUGGGAAUAGCUAGUAGGUGAGGUAACGGCUCACCUAGGCGACGAUCCCUAGCUGGUCUGAGAGGAUGAUCAGCCACACUGGGACUGAGACACGGCCCAGACUCCUACGGGAGGCAGCAGUGGGGAAUAUUGCACAAUGGGCGCAAGCCUGAUGCAGCCAUGCCGCGUGUAUGAAGAAGGCCUUGGGGUUGUAAAGUACUUUCAGUCGGGAGGCGUUACCGACAGAAGAAGCACCGGCUAACUCCGUGCCAGCCGCCGCGGUAAUUC
rnacentral:rRNA from 1 species